CCCUGCCUAUGCUUAUAAGACCAAAGCAGGCAGAUUAUUGUGCAGGAAAACUACUUCUUCAUGUGGCUGGAAAAAGCAGAGGCAAGAGUUUUACCCACAGGAGACACAUAUCAAAGGAAGAAACUCCUGCAUCUGACUGAUACCAUUAAAAGCAGCCAGGUUGCACUGAUGUGUGUUCUAAUGGCCGAUGGUAGCAUCUAAUGGUGUGAACAAGAUGGGAAAUACCUGAUGUUCCUUUAAAUGACAGAAGAGUGGUGCAUUACAGGUCAUGGAAGUAACACAGACUGCCAUCAGUAAGGAUCCCCUGGAAAUGUUUAUGCCUUCUUCGCAUAUUAUUCUCACAUGCCAUGUUUGUGGAUUUGAUAAAAGCUAAUCAUCCUUGCCUAAUGUGAAGAGUGUUCCAGGACUAUCUGUGUGGAUUGCCCACUAGGUGUCAUACUAGAAGGCCUGUGUUUUAUGAAUGCUGAAGUCAGUCUGGGAAGAGUCUUCAAGAACAGAAUGAAAGACAAGGCUGCCCCUCGGACAGAGAUCAAGUUAUUUGCAUCUAUUUCAGAUAAUAGUCAUCUAUGAACAAACAACUUGAGUUUCUCUUCCUAAAUGGCAAAUCCAAGAUGAUUCCCACCUCCGCUUGAAAGUUCUGUUGUUUGGGUCAUGAUAUAACCCCUCUCGAAGCCUAAAGAAGGUGUUUGCUUCUACUCAGAGUUGAUUUCAUGAGACAUACAGGGAGAUUUAAGUCCACUAAUUCAUGCAUCGUCCUUGGCCUGAGACUAACAGCAAGUGUUUGCAGCCAGUGUUCCAGCAACUCAGCAAGAAGUGAAUGUAAUCAGAAAAUGCGGGGGAGGGAGGAGAGAAACAAAAAAAAUCCAGCCUCAAUAAUAUGAAAAGCUCAUACAGAUAUACAAGGUGCAUUAUUCACUUGUUACCAACUGUUAAAACUUAAGCAAGAUGUUGAUGAGCACAAUUUGAAUGGAAAAAUAAAGUAAGGUUUGUUCCUA